ACACUCACGGCUCAGGUGUGUAUGUGGGCUUGGAUCUGUGACGAAUGUACUGCGUGGAAUAAAUGACACGGAAGGCGAGUCCAGCCAGGAAGUCCCGGGGCGAGAGCAAGCCGGCCGCCGGGCGAACCCGGAAGCCUGUGCAUGCUGCAGGAAAGAGUGGGACAGAUGAAAGAGGUCAUGCACAUGGUCACUGAUUUGUGUACCCAGGCCUUUGAUCACGUCAUCCAGAGCCUGGGAGCAGGUGGGGUCCACGCUGACGAAGAACUUGUACUGGUCUUUGUCCAUCCGCGACGGACGGGACUCGAUGUGCGUCAGGUUGAUGCCAUUCUCCUGUGAGAAGAGACUGUGGUGAGACCUGAGAAAAUCUGUUCCCGGUCCUAAGAUGAGCUGAAUGUCUCCAAGGCGCUGUGAAGGGUCUUCAGUUCUUCUCUCAUCUGGCUCAGAGCGUUUUGGAUCUUGCCGGGCUGAUCCAGAACCUCCACGCUGCAGGAAGGCAGAGACCUCUCUAAGCUGAGGGAUGCGGUCCUCUCCGUAGCCACACUCUUCCUCCAGCUGCUGCAGCCCGUCCAUGAACUGCCUGCAGGCCAGACCGUUGUAAAUACUCCGCAGUUGCCGUUUUGAAGAAUCCAGCGUUUUUCUCAUUGCUGAGAGAGAACAGGACGUUCAGAGUCACCCUGCCGUCCUUCUCGUCGAACACGAAGCUGUCUCCGUACCGGGAGGGCCCCGGGGGCCCCGGGGAGCCCGCCGAGCCGCUGCUGCGUUCCCUGCGAGCAUCCUCGAUCAGACUCUGCUUCCUC